rnacentral:rRNA from 1 species
CCCUUAGAUGUUCUGGGCCGCACGCGCGCUACACUGUUCGACGCAGCGAGUCUUAACCUUGACCGAAAGGUUUGGGUAAUCUUCAGCAAAGUCGAACGUGAUGGGGAUCGAUCAUUGCAAUUAUUGAUCGUGAACGAGGAAUUCCUAGUAAGUGCAAGUCAUCAGCUUGCGCUGAUUACGUCCCUGCCCUUUGUACACACCGCCCGUCGCUCCUACCGAUUGAAUGAUCCGAUGAAUACCAUGGAUUGAGGGUACGAAUAGGUUCGCUUAUUUCUGCUUCUCGAGAAGUGGAGUAAAUCUUAUCAUUUAGAGGAAGGAGAAGUCGUAACA